rnacentral:rRNA from 1 species
UACGUAGGGUGCGAGCGUUGUCCGGAUUCACUGGGUUUAAAGGGUGCGUAGGCGGGCAGGUAAGUCAGUGGUGAAAUCUCCGAGCUUAACUCGGAAACUGCCGUUGAUACUAUUUGUCUUGAAUAUUGUGGAGGUAAGUGGAAUAUGUCAUGUAGCGGUGAAAUGCUUAGAUAUGACAUAGAACACCAAUUGCGAAGGCAGCUUACUACACAACGAUUGACGCUGAGGCACGAAAGCGUGGGGAUCAAACAGG